AGAUUAAGUUAUUAAGGGCGCACGGUGGAUGCCUUGGCACUAGAAGCCGAUGAAGGACGUUACUAACGACGAUAUGCUUUGGGGAGCUGUAAGUAAGCUGUGAUCCAGAGAUUUCCGAAUGGGGGAACCCAAUACGAGUUAUGUCGUAUUAUCGAUACGUAAAUACAUAGCGUAUCGAAGGUAGACGCGGAGAACUGAAACAUCUUAGUACCCGCAGGAAGAGAAAGAAAAUCGAUUCCCUGAGUAGCGGCGAGCGAAACGGGAAGAGCCCAAACCAACGAGCUUGCUUGUUGGGGUUGUAGGACACUCUAUACGGAGUUACAAAGGAAUAGAUUAGACGAAGCAUCUGGAAAGAUGCAUCAAAGAAGGUAAUAAUCCUGUAGUCGAAAAUCUGUUCUCUCUUGAGUGGAUCCUGAGUACGACGGAACACGAGAAAUUCCGUCGGAAUCUGGGAGGACCAUCUCCCAAGGCUAAAUACUCUCUAGUGACCGAUAGGGAACCAGUACCGU
rnacentral:rRNA from 1 species